GACGAACGCUGGCGGCGUGCUUAACACAUGCAAGUCGGACGAAGUGGCGAACGGGUGAGUAACACGUGGGUAACUGCCCUCCAUUUUGGGAUAAGCGUUGGAAACGGGGGCUAAUACCGAAUAAAGGGGGAUGGCUGGCGGCCUAUCGGCUUGGUGGUGGGGUGAUGGCCUACCAAGGCGGUGACGGGUAGCCGGCCUGAGAGGGUGACCGGCCACAUUGGGCUGAGAUACGGUCCAGACUCAUUCGGGAGGCAGCAGGUGGGUGUAUUGCACCAUGGGGCAAACCCUGAUGCAGCAACGCCGCGUGCGGGAUGACGGCCUGCGGGUUGUAAACCGGUUUCAGCCAUGACGCUGUAGUGGCAGAAGAAGCACCGGCUAACUACGUGCCAGCAGCCGCGGUAAUUC
rnacentral:rRNA from 1 species